rnacentral:rRNA from 1 species
CGGACGGGUGAGUAACACGUGGAUAACCUACCUAUAAGACUGGGAUAACUUCGGGAAACCGGAGCUAAUACCGGAUAAUAUAUUGAACCGCAUGGUUCAAUAGUGAAAGACGGUUUUGCUAUCACUUAUAGAUGGAUCCGCGCCGCAUUAGCUAGUUGGUAAGGUAACGGCUUACCAAGGCAACGAUGCGUAGCCGACCUGAGAGGGUGAUCGGCCACACUGGAACUGAGACACGGUCCAGACUCCUACGGGAGGCAGCAGCU